rnacentral:rRNA from 1 species
ACGAACGCUGGCGGCGUGCUUAACACAUGCAAGUCGAACGGAAAGGCCCUGCUUUUGUGGGGUGCUCGAGUGGCGAACGGGUGAGUAACACGUGAGUAACCUGCCCUUGACUUUGGGAUAACUUCAGGAAACUGGGGCUAAUACCGGAUAGGAUCUCCUGCUGCAUGGUGGGGGUUGGUAAGUUUCGGCGGUUGGGGAUGGACUCGCGGCUUAUCAGCUUGUUGGUGGGGUAGUGGCUUACCAAGGCUUUGACGGGUAGCCGGCCUGGGAGGGUGACCGGCCACAUUGGGACUGAGAUACGGCCCAGACGCCUACGGGAGGCAGCAGUGGGGAAUAUUGCACAAUGGGCGGAAGCCUGAUGCAGCAACGCCGCGUGCGGGAUGACGGCCUUCGGGUUGUAAACCGCUUUCGCCUGUGACGAAGCGUGAGUGACGGUAAUGGGUAAAGAAGCACCGGCUAACUACGUG